rnacentral:misc_RNA from 1 species
GAUGAAGAACGUAGCGAAAUGCGAUACGUAAUGUGAAUUGCAGAAUUCAGUGAAUCUUCGAAUCUUUGAACGCAUAUUGCGCUCUCUGGUAUUCCGGAGAGCAUGCUUGUUUGAGUAUCAGUAAACACCUCAACUCCCUUUUCUUUUUUGAAAUUGGAGCUGGACUUGAGUGAUCCCAACGCUUUCUUCCAAGAAAGUGGCGGGUUGCUUGAAAUGCAGGUGCAGCUGAACUUUUCUCUGAGCUAUAAGCAUAUCUAUUUAGUCUGCCUAAAAAACAGAUUAUUACCUUUGCUGCAGCUAACAUAAAGGAGACUAGUUCUUGUGCUGACUGAUGCAGGAUUCACAGAGACAGCUUCGGCUGACUUUGUAAACUCGAUCUCAAAUCAAGUAAGACUACCCGCUGAACUUAAGCAUAUCAAUAAGCGGAGGA